rnacentral:rRNA from 1 species
UACAGAGGGGGCAAGCGUUGUUCGGAAUUACUGGGCGUAAAGCGUGCGUAGACGGUCAUGUAAGUCGGGUGUGAAAGCCCCGGGCUCAACCUGGGAAUUGCAUUCGAGACUGCAUGGCUAGGAUGCGGAAGAGGGAAGCGGAAUUUCCGGUGUAGCGGUGAAAUGCGUAGAUAUCGGAAGGAACACCAGUGGCGAAAGCGGCUUCCUGGUCCAGCAUCGACGUUCAGGCACGAAAGCGUGGGGAGCAAACAGG